AACAACUGUUUACAUAGCAUUGACAUUGUAUUCGGCACUAUAAGUAAUCUAGAGAAGAUUUAAAGUGUAUGGAAGGAUUGCAUAGGGUAUAUACAAAUACUGUUUUAUAUGAGGAACUUGAGCAUCCAUGGAUUUUCGUAUCCAAGAAGGGUCCUGGAACCAAUUUCCCACAGAUACCAAGGGACAACUGCAUUUAUAUAAUGAAACUAAUUACUAAUUGCGAGGGGACCCUAUGAGAAGAGGCACAAAUUUGGCUGUGACAUAUACAUUAGAUGUCAUGAACCACCCAUACCAUCUACAUUCCUGUAUCUUUCCAGUGCCUGUUUCACAAAGUAUCUGAAUGAAUGAAUGAAUGAAUGAGCAGCUGAAUGUCUUUCUUUUUUAUGGGGCCACAUAUGAUUGUCUCCUUUGUAGCUAUGCCAGGUAGACAUAACCAAGAAAGGACCUCCCAGAAAACUACCACCAGUCCCUGACUGUCCUUCAUGGCACCAAUCUUUAAAUAAACAUGGUCUCUUAGUUUUCUAAAAACAAAUUCUUAUCACUUAUAUUUCAGUCUGGCCACACAAGCUAUUUUGUUGCCACUCAGUGAAAAGAUGUGCUGCUUUCUCAUCUGGAAUUUUUAUCCUUUCUCACUGGCUGGAUGAUGACUUUGGCGACUGGCAGUGGGCCUCACUCAGUGACCCACAUAUGUGGAGAGGGCAGAUGUUGCCACUUCCUCCAAUCCACCUCAUUAUACUUUUUAUUUGAAUAAUUAAGGAUAGAGAAAGGAUGGUGUGGUCUAUAAGUAGCAAGCCAUAAUCUCCCCAUGUUCAAGUUCAAACUGGACAAAAGACCCCUGAUCCUAACUCUACCGGAGACUUUCUUUCAUGGAUGGCCCAGGAGAUGAAAGAAUUUGCACCUCAGAUGGGGGUUCCCUGUGUGUGCGUCCGUAUCAUGCACUGAACUGACGGAAUUAGAGUGGGGCAAUGAUGAUGAGGUAAUAUUGCCUUCCAUGACAGAAAUAAGUUAUUAAGCGUCACAGAAUGUUGGUGUGAUGAAAGACCUUACAGUUCAUCUAAUGGAAUCUGCUUUUUCAUGGACAAGGAAACUGAGAUCAAGAAACCUUUUCCAGGUGCAUGUUUAAGUCAUC
rnacentral:lncRNA from 10 species